AUAUCGGUGUGUGCAUAUUUCAUCAUUAAGUGUUAGGCAGCAGCCCUGACUGUGUGUGCUGCCUUUGUGACCCCCAGGCCUGGAGCAGCCAGGCAACAGCAGGGCUGUGUGUGCAGGCUGAAGGAGAAGCCCGCGCAGGAGGGACUACAUCCUAAAUGGCUGAGAGCUCAGAAGAGCCUAACUCUGCCAGUGAGUGUAAUUAGCAUGGCACCCAUUUUACUUCAUAGAUUUAGCAAGCUUUGUUAUUUACUAUUUCUUUUAAAGACACAUAACAUAUGAACUAACUUAUAUCCAGGAAUUCCAAUAAAGCCUUAAUUUUUGGAAGAUGCAGACUGGGAAACAAGCAGUUAUAAUAAAUAUUUAUGUUUCUGCACAGGUACCAGCAUAUUGUCAAAUUUCAAGGCCAAUGGUUUUAUAAGUUCAAAAUAUUCAGAUAGUUCCCCAGUUUGGCCACAGCCUUUCCACAAGGUGAGCUCAGCUAAAAAACACUGCCAGAACUAAGCAUGGACCCUUUCAAGAAAGAGAACACGUUCAGGACCUCUGCUCCUUUAAGACAUUUAAGGAACUUGUGAUAAAUAACAUUCAGUGUGAGCACGUGAUGAAUCCUGGAGAUACUGCUGAAAACAUUCAGUAAUUUUUCUGAUAGUAAAAUUUUUUCUGA